rnacentral:piRNA from 1 species
UCUAGAAAUUGGUGUUUGGUAUUUCAGU